GGGCACUCUUUUUUCCUCCUGGCAUGCCCUUGCUGUGGUGAAGAAACUGUUCUCCCAUUAAUGUUACUACUUGUCACUCACUUCCCUCUCCCAUUUCUUACAAUGUCCAGUAAGCCUGAAAGCAAUGAAUACAAAUGAUACAGAAGUUAAUGCCAACUAAUUAAAGACUUGCAAAUAAGAAAAUAUUCAAAGGAAGACUUAAAACACAGAACAAAAAAGCUCAGAUAAGUCAUUGGAAAGCUGAGCCUGAGAAGGCUGGACUAAAGCAGGCCCGACUGACAGUUCUGGUUACAUGGUUCGCCUAAUCUGGGAAUCAAAAUCUUUAAUUAUAAGUCAUCCAUUUCAGAGGAUUACCUUUAAGUCUACCCAAAGCUGAAUGAACACACACAAACUAUCUUGUAAAAAUGAGUAAAUCAAUCCUGGGACAUCCUGCAAAAUAUGAAUUUAGUCAUAAACCCAUAGCAUAUGGUAUAAAUUUCACAGAAGGGGUCGAUGGAAUUUUAAAACUUCUUGAAAACUGCACCCUCAGUGUUGACUAAGAAGGUGUCUGUGUCUGGUCUUCCUGAAGUAGGCCUUUCGAGAUUGCCCAUACUGUCUUCUUGAAUUGUUUCCACCACUCUCAGUUGCUCAGCCUCAUCACUAUUGAGUACUGGGAGAGAGAAUUCUUUGCUGUGGGGCUAUCUAAUGCCUCUGUAAAAACUUUAGUAGAGCCCUAUAACUCCUAGCUGGUCUUAUCAAAAGCCUGGAACAUGUGCCACUUCCUCUAUCGAGCUGUGGUAAUGAUAAAUACCUUUCCCAGGUCAAGAAAUAGUGAUUCCAGAUUUUCAUCCAGAGAUCACUCAAAUAGAAUAAAAUAUGAUGCUAAUAAGAAAGAUUAUUGUCAAAUUAAUAAACAUUAUGUGACCCAAUGAUGCAUACACCAGAGUCUCAAUUUUGUAUCAUCAUUGUUGUAUAGUGGCUGAGUGUCAUAUGCCACAGACUUUGACUUACUGGACAUUGAAAAAGUUAUGCCAGUUUUCUCAUUUAUAAAAUUGAUGUGUGUCUUGGGGGGGGAGGAGGAGAGAGAAAGAGAUACUAUU